GGAUUGUUACGAAUCUAUAAAAAGUGCCUUCACACGGCAGGGGUCACAAGUUCGAACCUUGUACCGCCCACCA
rnacentral:tRNA from 1 species